rnacentral:lncRNA from 1 species
AGGGAGAGUGGGCAGAGGAAGGGGAAAGAACCUGUGUCCUCUCUCUGUCUGUUGAUAUUUUCUUUUCACCUUCGAUUCUCUGGUCAAAAGAGGUGAUUCCAUAGUUGUCCUUCAUUUUUUUUUUUAAUGAGAGAAACCAAAUGGGAACAUUAACUUCCAUAGAGGGUUUGUUCAUUGUGGGACACCUGCUGGUCCAGGAGAGAGAUUUACAUAAAAUAAAUAGCAGCUUCCCUUCCAGGAACAGUGAGAUUUAGUGGAUCCUAAAAUCAUGGACUGAAUUUCAAGAAUCCCACUGCUUUCUAUUACCUCCUUGAUGAAUUUCACAGCCUACAGUCCUCAAGCUACCGAGUGCCACAAAAUGGAGGAAAAAGUCAACAAUCUUUUAUUAAAUGCUUACAACAUGCCAGCCGCUGUGCUAAAACUGAUCACAUAAAGGAAGGCAAAAAAUAGAUACAAAUACCCAGAGGAGGUGAAAGGCUCUCUGAGAGGCAAAGGCAUUAGCCACUGGAGAAGGCAGUGAGGGAAGUCACUGGCGAAGUUCUGAGAUAGAUGGCACAGUGGGCGAAUUCUUUUUCUCAAUCAUCAUUUUGUCCCCUCACAGAUUUGAUCAGUUGGCCAGACUGAAAAUCCCAUGCAUGGGAGCAGCGAGAAUAAUGCCUUUGUAUGGCAUCCAAAGUCAAAAGGAGAUGUUGCUGUCACAUGAAUACAAGGGAAUAGGUAUACUACAGUUCUUGAAGAAAAAAGACUGACUUUCCACAUUGCUCAUCAACAACAUCAAUGAGUUCAGAGCUCUCCGAGUUGUCCUUUCCAUGAAGGUACAUACUUAACACAGAAAUACUCCCAACUGCUUCCUUAAUUCUCCACAAAUGGUAUUAUCCUGUACCUUCAUUGCUCUACUGCCACCAGGAGAUAUCAUGGCCAAGAUGAAGAAGGAAUGGCUUCCCCCUAGGACCUGGUUUUUUGCAGAGAAAGGGGAUGGAACAUGGCCUUCUGUGGAAAAGAGAAUGGCACAGGUGAUUAGACCAGAAUAA